rnacentral:rRNA from 1 species
CACGUAGAUAAUCUACCUUCGAGCCUGGGAUAACUAUCCGAAAGGGUAGCUAAUACCGGAUAAAGUUGAUUAACAUAAGUUAAUUCAUGAAAGAUAGCCUCUGAUUUAAGCAAUUGUUUGGAGAUGAGUCUGCGGACCAUUAGUUAGUUGGUGGGGUAACGGCCUACCAAGACUGCGAUGGUUAGCUGGUCUGAGAGGAUGAUCAGUCACACUGGAACUGGAACACGGUCCAGACUCCUACGGGAGGCAGCAGUGAGGAAUUUUGCGCAAUGGGGGUAACCCCUGACGCAGCAACGCCGCGUGAGUGAAGAAGGCCUUUGGGUCGUAAAGCUCUGUC